UAUUGCACAAUGGGCGAAAGCCUGAUGCAGCAACGCCGCGUGAGUGAUGAAGGCCUUCGGGUUGUAAAGCUCUGUCUUCUGGGACGAUAAUGACGGUACCAGAGGAGGAAGCCACGGCUAACUACGUGCCAGCAGCCGCGGUAAUCCGUAGGGGGCAAGCGUUGUCCGGAUUUACUGGGUGUAAAGGGUGCUCAGGCGGAUUUGUAAGUCAGAGGUGAAAUCUUACAGCUUAACUGUGAAACUGCCUUUGAUACUGCAAGCCUAGAGUAUGGAAGAGAGUGAUGGAAUAUCUGGUGUAGCAGUGAAAUGCGUAGAUAUCAGAUAGAACACCAAUGGCGAAGGCAGUCACUUGGUCCAUUACUGACGCUAAAGCACGAAAGCGUGGGUAG
rnacentral:rRNA from 1 species